GGAAUAUUGAAGUCACUGUGGUAUCAAAACACUAAUCUUCAAGUUAAUGAAUAACUUUUAAAAUUAUAUUUAACAUUCCUUUCAUGACUACCUCAUUAAACAAUUUUAAUUUAGAAUCCAGAAAGCCCAACAUGUUUGUGUUCCUUGUGGACUGGAAUUUGGGACCUCUGCAGUAAAGAUGCUCUUUAACUUCAAUCAAUCAAUCAAUCAAUCUUUUGAAUGUGUCAUUAGA